CUCGAGCGAAGCGAGAGAACGUUGCGUCAGCAACGGCCCGCAGGGCGAGCCACGCAGUGGCGAGUCAUCCUCUAUCACCGACCA
rnacentral:sRNA from 1 species